rnacentral:rRNA from 1 species
UACGAAGGGGGCUAGCGUUGCUCGGAAUGACUGGGCGUAAAGCGCACGUAGGCGGCUUUUUAAGUCAGGGGUGAAAUCCUGGAGCUCAACUCCAGAACUGCCUUUGAUACUGAGAGCUUGAGUCCGGGAGAGGUGAGUGGAACUGCGAGUGUAGAGGUGAAAUUCGUAGAUAUUCGCAAGAACACCAGUGGCGAAGGCGGCUCACUGGCCCGGUACUGACGCUGAGGUGCGAAAGCGUGGGGAGCAAGCAGG